UCUGGGCGUAAAGAGCUCGUAGGUGGUUUGUCGCGUUGUUCGUGAAAUCUCACGGCUUAACCGUGAGCGUGCGAGCGAUACGGGCAGACUAGAGUACUGCAGGGGAGACUAGAAUUCCUGAUGUAGCGGUGGAAUGCGCAGAUAUCAGGAGGAACACCGGUGGCGAAGGCGGGUCUCUGGGCAGUAACUGACGCUGAGGAGCGAAAGCGUGGGGAGCGAACAGGAUUAGAUACCCUGGUAGUCCACGCCGUAAACGGUGGGUACUAGGUGUGGGUUUCCUUCCUCGGGAUCCGUGCCGUAGCUAACGCAUUAAGUACCCCGCCUGGGGAGUACGUCCGCAAAGGCUAAAACUCCAAAGGAAUUGACGGGGGCCCGCACAAGCGGCGGAGCAUGUGGAUUAAUUCGAUGCAACGCGAAGGGAACCGUUACCUGGGUUUGACAUGCACAGGACGCGUCUAGAGAUAGGCGUUCCCUUGUGGCCUGUGUGCAGGUGGUGCAUGGCUGUCGUCAGCUCGUGUCGUGAGAUGUUGGGUUAAGUCCCGCAACGAGCGCAACCCUUGUCUCAUGUUGCCAGCGGGUAAUGCCGGGGACUCGUGAGAAACUGCCGGGGUCAACUCGGAGGAAGGUGGGGAUGACGUCAAGUCAUCAUGCCCCUUAUGUCCAGGGCUUCACACAUGCUACAAUGGCCGGUACAAAGGGCUGCGAUGCCGCAAGGUUAAGCGAAUCCUUUUAAAGCCGGUCUCAGCUCGGAUCGGGGUCUGCAACUCGACCCCGUGAAGUCGGAGUCGCUAGUAAUCGCAGAUCAGCAACGCUGCGGUGAUACGUUCCCGGGCC
rnacentral:rRNA from 1 species